rnacentral:rRNA from 1 species
GACGAACGCUGGCGGCGUGCUUAACACAUGCAAGUCGAACGGAAAGGCCCUGCUUUUGUGGGUUGCUCGAGUGGCGAACGGGUGAGUAACACGUGAGUAACCUGCCCUUGACUUUGGGAUAACUUCAGGAAACUGGGGAUAAUACCGGAUAGGAGCUCCUUCUGCUUGGUGGGGGUUGGAAAGUUUCGGCGGUUGGGGAUGGACUCGCGGCUUAUCAGCUUGUUGGUGGGGUAGUGGCUUACCAAGGCUUUGACGGGUAGCCGGCCUGAGAGGGUGACCGGCCACAUUGGGACUGAGAGACGGCCCAGACUGCUACGGGAGGCAGCAGUGGGGAAUAUUGCACAAUGGGCGGAAGCCUGAUGCAGCAACGCCGCGUGCGGGAUGACGGCCUGCGGGUUGUAAACCGCUUUCGCCUGUGACGAAGCGUGAGUGACGGUAAUGGGUAAAGAAGCACCGGCUAACUACGUG